AUUGAACGCCGGCGGCGUGCCUAAUACAUGCAAGUCGAGCGAGACUCUUCGGAGUCUAGCGGCGGACGGGUGAGUAACACGUGGGCAACCUGCCUGUAAGACUGGGAUAACACCGGGAAACCGGUGCUAAUACCGGAUAAUCCUUUUCCUCUCAUGAGGAAAAGCUGAAAGUCGGUUUCGGCUGACACUUACAGAUGGGCCCGCGGCGCAUUAGCUAGUUGGUGAGGUAACAGCUCACCAAGGUGACGAUGCGUAGCCGACCUGAGAGGGUGAUCGGCCACACUGGGACUGAGACACGGCCCAGACUCCUACGGGAGGCAGCAGUAGGGAAUCUUCCACAAUGGACGAAAGUCUGAUGGAGCAACGCCGCGUGAGCGAUGAAGGCCUUCGGGUCGUAAAGCUCUGUUGUUAGGGAAGAACAAGUACCGGAGUAACUGCCGUUACCUUGACGGUACCUAACCAGAAAGCCACGGCUAACUACGUGCCAGCAGCCGCAGUAAGAC
rnacentral:rRNA from 1 species